UACGGAGGGGGCAAGCGUUGUUCGGAGUUACUGGGCGUAAAGCGCGCGUAGGUGGCUUGAUAAGCCGGUUGUGAAAGCCCCGGGCUCAACCUGGGAACGGCAUCCGGAACUGUCAGGCUAGAGUGCAGGAGAGGAAGGUAGAAUUCCCGGUGUAGCGGUGAAAUGCGUAGAGAUCGGGAGGAAUACCAGUGGCGAAGGCGGCCAUCUGGCUGAUAACUGACGCUGAGGUGCGAGAGCGUGGGGAGCAAACAGG
rnacentral:rRNA from 1 species